rnacentral:rRNA from 1 species
AUUGAACGCUGGCGGCAUGCUUUACACAUGCAAGUCGAACGGUAACAGGCCGCAAGGUGCUGACGAGUGGCGAACGGGUGAGUAAUGCAUCGGAACGUGCCCAGUCGUGGGGGAUAACGCAGCGAAAGCUGCGCUAAUACCGCAUACGAUCUAUGGAUGAAAGCGGGGGACCGUAAGGCCUCGCGCGAUUGGAGCGGCCGAUGUCAGAUGAGGUAGUUGGGGGGGUAAAGGCUCACUAAGCCAACGAUCUGUAGCGGGUCUGAGAGGACGACCCGCCGCGUUGAUCCUGGGACACGGCGCGGACUCCGACGGGAGGCAGCAGGGGGGAGUCUUGGUCUAUGGGCGCAAGCCUGAUCCAGCAAUGCCGCGUGCGUGAAGGAGGCCUUCGGGUUGUAAAGCGCUUGUGUCAGGGAGCAAAGACUGAUGGCUAAUAGCCAUCGGAGUUGGGAGUACCUGAAGAAUAAGGACCGGCUAACUACGUGCCAGCAGCCGCGGUAACAC